AACGCUGGCGGCGUGCCUAACACAUGCAAGUCGAACGGAGAUAAGCGCUGAUGAUUUAGCUUGCUAGAGAUUCUUGCUUAUCUUAGUGGCGGACGGGUGAGUAACGCGUGAGCAACCUGCCUUUCAGAGGGGGAUAACGUCUUGAAAAGGACGCUAAUACCGCAUGAUAUUAUGGAGCCACAUGGCUCUAUAAUCAAAGGAGCAAUCCGCUGAAAGAUGGGCUCGCGUCCGAUUAGGUAGUUGGCGGGAUAACAGCCCACCAAGCCGACGAUCGGUAGCCGGACUGAGAGGUUGAACGGCCACAUUGGGACUGAGACACGGCCCAGACUCCUACGGGAGGCAGCAGUGAGGGAUAUUGGUCAAUGGGGGAAACCCUGAACCAGCAACGCCGCGUGAGGGAUGACGGCCUUCGGGUUGUAAACCUCUGUUAUCAGGGACGAAGAAAGACGGUACCUGAAGAGGAAGCCACGGCUAACUACGUGCCAGCAGCCGCGGUAA
rnacentral:rRNA from 1 species